ensembl:lncRNA
AUGUCUCUUUAUCUGCCUUUCUUCAAGAUAGACUUUUGCUCUAGCUCCCUCUUGUGGAUAAUGGAAGGACUGGCUCAGAAUAACCUAAUCAGACUCGUCCUCCUCCUCUUCACAGAGAUGCUGUCCCAACCUCCCCCUCUUCACCAAGCUGAUGGAGCAGUGCUUAAAGGAGCCUCAAACCAAAGGACCUACAGCCAACGCAUACACACACACACACACACACACACACACACAAAGAUAUUCAGGUUCCCUCACUUUAUGGGCAUAGGAGAGAAAAGAGUCAGGUUUUGGAAUCUCAUGCAUUUCAGAUUUUUUUUAUAUUAUAUCUGCUCUCCUCAGAGGUCCUGUUGAUUUUCUUGACAGGAUUAUAUGUCUUCUUAACGAUGCCUAAAGGUGUAAAAACUUAUUUUUCCUUCCUUUUUUAAAUUCAAGUUAUUGUAACAAGCAAUAGAAAGUUUUUAUUGUUUAACGUUCAGGUUUUGGGUCUAAGAGUAAAAUGUAAAGGUUAUGACUAGUUUCAUUGUCACUGUUUCUGUUCACUGUUUUUGAUGUUUUAAUGCUUGGGUUUUGACUUUAAGAGUAAAAUAUAAAGGUUAUGAUUAGUUUCACUGUUUAUGUUUAUGUCUGGAAUUAUGUUAGUUUUGCUGUCACUGUUUAUGACUGGUAUUAUUUUUUAAAUUAAUCUUCUUGGGGGAGUUUCAUUUUAGGGGUCAUUACAAGGGUGCAUCUUUGUUCACAACCACAUGUUGCCUUUGCUACUGGCAGGUAAAUUAUGAAUAAUCUGUGCAUUGCAGUGGGUGUUAGUUUUAUUCUUUAAUUAUGUUCCUAGACUUUCCUAGUGCCUUUGCUAGUGACCCCUCGUGCUCAUCUUGAGGAUCAUUUGAUUCUGAGGCUGGUGUUGUCCAGGUCUCACAGGAGCCUUACAUGGGAAGACUGGGAGCCAGAUCAGGAUCGGGUUGUCAUAUUCAGUAUCUGCGGAUCAGAGGCACUGCUUAUAUCUGCCCAGGACCUUAACACUAAAGGGCAAUGCUGGCAUUUGGGCUGAUUUUCAUGUUGAACUGCAAUAUUUGCUAUGCUAUAACUAUUAAAACGUAAUUUCAUUUUCUGUGCCUGAGUUUGUCUGCCAUGUUUUUAUACCCUGGUUUUUACAAAAAAAUUUAAAGUUCGAGCUUCCCAGCUUCAUUCACUAAGAACAGUUAACAAUACC